GGGGACGCUCCGGUUUCGAUAGGGGCCGCCGAGGGCGAUGUUGCAAGCCGAGGAUGACCGUGGGCCUCGUAAAUCACCGGUCAAGCCAUUAACUGGCGAAACUUCUUACCAACUCGCUGCUUAAGUGAGUAAGUGACCGCGAAGCCCGGCCUUUGGCGUCGCGCGAACUGACGAAAAGAAGGCUAGCCGCUCCGGACGCUUCUAGGGAGCGCGCGAAAAUUAAGAAGCUGGGUCCGAAGAGAGCCUGUUCGUCGGCGCUCCACGACCGAGAUCCAAACGACGAACUAAGCUUGUAGACGCACGUCUGAAGGGCUCUUAGACGAGGGUUCGACUCCCUCCGUCUCCACCA
rnacentral:tmRNA from 1 species